rnacentral:rRNA from 1 species
CCUACGGGAGGCAGCAGUGAGGAAUAUUGGUCAAUGGGCGGGAGCCUGAACCAGCCAAGUCGCGUGAGGGAAGACGGUCCUAUGGAUUGUAAACCUCUUUAGGCGGGGAGCAAUGCCGGGCACGCGUGCCCGGAGGGAGAGUACCCGCAGAAUAAGCAUCGGCUAACUCCGUCCCAGCAGCCGCGGUAAUACGGAGGAUGUGAGCGUUAUCCGGAUUUAUUGGGUUUAAAGGGUGCGUAGGCGGAUUUUUAAGUCAGCGGUAAAAUGUCCGGGCUCAACCCGGGCCGGCCGUUGAAACUGGGGAUCUUGAGUGGGCGAGAAGUAUGCGGAAUGCGUGGUGUAGCGGUGAAAUGCAUAGAUAUCACGCAGAACUCCGAUUGCGAAGGCAGCAUACCGGCGCCCGACUGACGCUGAGGCACGAAAGCGUGGGGAUCGAACAGGAUUAGAUACCCCAGUAGUC